CUCUCUCUAAGAUCCCAGCUGACCAACCUCACACAAAAGAUGAACACCACCAACCAAAAUAGGAGACAGGAGCAAAGGAUCAAUAAACAUAUACCGGCACAGAAAGUGCCCAGGCAGUGUUCCCUCAGCUCCUGUUGGAAGGGGUUGCCUCUAGUGACAACAUAGUAGUAGAGAUUGUCACUCACUCUAUGACAACUGUGAUGGCCCUCUGACCUACAUACUAUUAACAGUCCCUUCUAAGGAAGAGGAAACUGAGGCACAGGGAAACUUAGUUAUCUCCCCAUGACCACACAGGUAGACAUUAUGGCUGAUGGGAUGCUCUUCCAAGUGUCCUGAUGUCAGAGGAACAGCCUUUCCCAUGUUGUGACUCUGCUCAUGAGGUGUCACUAUGGUGGGCACGUGGAUGAUGAAACAGGGCUCUGAUACUUCCCAGAGAAGAAACAAAUGGUCCAUGCAUCAGGUUACAUCUCUGCUGAGAUGGAUGUGAGGGGGAUGAGAAGGUGCUCAAAUAACCAGAGAGAAUAUUUUGGCAGGGCAAAGAACAAUGGAGCCAUGUCUGAGAAUCUGAGAGGAGGUGAAUUUCUGGGACAACGGAGUGGAUUGAUGGUGGAGCAGAAUAGGCAUCACCCUGAGACUGGAACACCACGUGCACUCCAUGUGUGCUGACAAGCCCCAGAUGUAUCCCUCUAUCCUUCCUGAAUGCAACCUGGGUAUCUAAGGGGCCUACUGCUAAAUGGACCUUCAUUUGGUGAGCUGGUUCUGGAACUUGUGGCCAAAUCUGAGUCCAUCUCUUUUGCAGUCUAGGACCUAGAUAUCAGGGUUUACUUCUCAUUCCUUGGGCAUUGAGGGUUUCUCCUCUCUUGUCCAUCAAUUAUUGCCUUGUUGAUGAACCCUCUAAAUUGAAGGACCCAAUGUGGAAUCAAAGUAACAGUCUGUGGUGGGGGAGAAUAGGUCCGAAAAACUAUUGCAUUUCCCUGAGAACGUCUUGCAUGGUUCAGUGCUUUCCAGAUGCUGACAAUGUCCAUUUUAUACUACGUUAACUUUGGUAAGUGUCUGUUGGGAGGGUGGAACGGCAGUCUCAAUAAGAAAAUCCAUGCAUCUUGUCCAUUCUUCCUUGCUUCUGCCACUUGGCCCGCCAGUUCAAAUAAUAGUGUGACACAUAAUCAUUUUGUGAUUUUGCCCAAAUGAACUGACACAGGUAAUUUCCAAGUUCUCAUGUCUACACAUCAGAGAAUACCAAUGAUUGCCACAGACCGGCCCCAGUUGGCCUCUCUCAAUCAAUGGGAAAUUAGGGUUCCAGACACAUGGGCAUGGAAUUGGCAACAAAAAGGGUGACAAAAGACAUGGACACAAGGGAGUGUGUAUCUGAAUAUAUUUUCUCAAAGUGAGCACCAGUCUUAUAAUACAGAAGAAAAACAAGAAAGCUAGGCAAAUACAUCUGUCAAGGUACACUGGUUCUUAACACAAAACAAAGAAAAUACAUACAUAAAAAGAUAGCGGGAGCCAGGCUGUGUUUACAAAUGAGAAUAAAAACAACCCUAAUUAGGAUCAGCUAAACACAGGAGCCAGGUGAAUGCUCUGAUGCAAUGCUAGUCUAUUGUUAAACCCACCACCAAGGAUCCUUUAGUAAAUACCUGAUUAUGCUAUUCCUCUAGGCCUAGUGAAAAACCUGCACAAGAGGAAUUCUUUUCUACUAACCCUUUCAUAAAUAAUACUACAAACCACCUAUUUCCUAGACCAUUGUGUAUUCCUGUGUAUGGGUGUGACUUGGCUGUUGUUCUAAGUACUUACUAUGUAAACUAGCCCUGAGCUUUUCUAGCUCUAUUGAAGUAAAUUGUAUUGCCUAAUUCAUUUCACCAUCUCUAGCCUAUACAGGCCUAGCCUAUACUUUGCAGUACAGCAGUAUGCUCAGAUACUGUGCUCCAAAAUAAGGCUAGGGCAAAGUAUCUAAGGGUAAUUAAACACAGAUGUAUGGGUCCCCAAGGGGCAACCACUAUGAACUGCCUGGUCUGCAUAUCAUCACUGUGCUUUCUGCCCCUAAAACCAUCACAGCCCAACUCCAGAGCCUUCUGACAUGAUGAACAAUGAGAGACAAUAUACAGAGAGUGUGUCUGUUAGCCUCUGGUCACUGUGACAGCACAUCUAGAUAACCCACUGAGGAAUGCAAACGUUUGGGUGAAUCACAGUUUCAGAGAAUUCAGCUCAGGAUCUGCUGGCUUCUUUGCUUUGGGACAGAGGCUAGUCAAGUUCUGUGCAUUGAAAGACACUAUCAAGAGAAUUGGAGAGAGGACUUGGCUGAGUGGGUAAAGUGUUGGACCCUCAUGCAUGAGGGGACCUUAGUUUUAUCCCCUGAAACAGAAGCACAAAAGUGUGGUAACAUAAACUUCUGAUCUGUACUCUGGGGAAGUAGAAAUGGGUGGGUCCCUGGAACUCACAGGCCAGCCACCCUAGCCAAUUAGUAACUUCCAGUCAUAUAAAGAGAUUCUACUCCAAAAGCCAAGGUGGAUGGGGAAUGACCUUUAAUUUCCAUAUGGAUAUGCACAUGGAUGCACACAUCCCCAUUUAUGACCACACAGAAUUACAAAAAGUAAAUGUUCAAGGAGAAUGAACAAGAGGACUGGAGAGUUGGCUUAGUGGUGGACCACUGGCUUGACUUACAUACAUGAAGUCAAGUCUCAGCAUCAUGGGACCGGGGGGUCACUCAGGAUAAGAGGAACUGUCUGCAGCACAGGCUUCUUUCUGUACCUAGAAUUGUGAAGAAAUUUAACAGAUGAUAACAAAAGCCACUCUUCACACCACCAGGAAGGCUUCACACCACCAGUCAGCUGCCUCCAGAG
rnacentral:lncRNA from 1 species